rnacentral:rRNA from 1 species
AUGAAUUGUUUGAGCUGGAACUGUUGGGGGCUUGGAAAACCCGAGGCAGUUCGCGAGCUUCGUAAUAUGGUGACGCAAGAAGUGCCCGCCCUUCUGUUCGUCAUGGAAACGAAGAUUAGGGGAAAUAGAGUAGAAAAUUUGCAAACUACUCUGGGGUUUGGAGGAUGAUUCGCAGUUGACAGUGAUGGCUUGAGUGGUGGUCUUGGGCUAUUCUGGUCACGAGAGAUUUCAGUGGACCUGAAGAAUUUUAGUCCCGGCCACAUCGAUGUAAUGGUGCGAGCAGUGGAUAAUUCUUUUGAUGAAUGGUGA